rnacentral:rRNA from 1 species
AGCAGCCGCGGUAAUUCCAGCUCCAAUAGCGUAUAUUAAAGUUGUUGCAGUUAAAAAGCUCGUAGUUGAAUUUCGGGAUCAGUUGGUCGGUCGUGCCUCGGUACGUACUGGUCAAAUUGAUUCCUACCUUCUGACGAACCACGAUGUCAUUAAUUUGGUGUCGCGGGAAAUCAGGACUGUUACUUUGAAAAAAUUAGAGUGUUUAAAGCAGGCUCGCGCUUGAAUACAUUAGCAUGGAAUAAUGAAAUAGGACGUUUGAUUCUAUUUUGUUGGUUUCUAGGAUCGACGUAAUGAUUAAUAGGGAUAGUUGGGGGCAUUAGUAUUCAAUUGUCAGAGGUGAAAUUCUUGGAUUUAUUGAAGACUAACUACUGCGAAAGCAUUUGCCAAGGAUGUUUUCAUUAAUCAAGAACGAAAGUUAGGGGAUCGAAGACGAUCAGAUACCGUCGUAGUCUUAACCAUAAACUAUGCCGACUAGGGAUCGGAUGAUGUAAUUUUUUAAUGACUCAUUCGGCGCCUUAAC